GCCUGCACAAUCAGUGUCGUAUACUCAUGUAACGCGAGCUGUGAUUUGCUCCUUUAUACAAAUCUCCCUCCAAUCAAAUAAUCGGACUGAAUAUUUGGAGGGAAAAAACGAGCAACACUAAUGUAAACAAAGGACUCGAGCAAUGCUUUCUUUGUUGAUAAACGUGUGUAUCCAAUCGUCAUAUGGUGAAAUCAUUUAUUCUGGUCACACGGCAAACAGUUUUAUUGUCUAUCGAAUAAACCAUUCUAAAAACGAAUAAGAAACAAACGUAUUUGUCCGUUUGUACGUGUCAAGUGUUUUUAUGUUGUGUUUUGUGCAUCAGUAUACGUAUCAAUUACGAUAUUUCCGGAUUGGAUUGACGGAUCAUCUCACAACAAGAACCAACGAAAAGAAGGUACAUUAACUUUCAAGGAGACAGCAGACAAGGAUACAUUGGAUAGAGGAGUCGAAAACUCUUGGUGGCGUGUUACCCAUAAAAGUUAAAUAUGAGAAAAAUGCUUCACCAAUGGAGGAGGCGCGCGCGGUUAGCAUCGAUUCCUGCAAGAACGAUCGUACCUCGAAAACCCUGGGCAUCAAUAUUAUUUCAUGAAUCAGGAAGCACUUUCUCGUUCACGCUCGUACGUCGUCGAGAAAAGGAGAAUCCAGCACGGGACCUGGGAAAGGGAGCAGCAGCACCUCGAGGAGCAAAAAACUGCUCGUCGAUGAACCUCGAAGGGCUCCCCAGCCUCGUCGAGUUUUCCUGGCAACGCUGGAUUUAAUACAUUUGCAAUUUUCAUACGGGAUUUUAUUCCGCGCUGUGUGCUUUUCCACGCUGCCUCGAGCGCACCAGCUCUAAAUACAAACGACUCGAGGAGAACGAAAGGUAUUUCGAAGUAGCCAACAAUAGAAUGGGUGCCAGAAGAACAUCCGGCCAAAUGCAUCUUCCAUUUGAACUGCGUGCAAGCUUCCACACCUGAUGGGAACAGAGUGCAAAAUGCCAAAAGGAUUCUUACCAAAAGGACCCCGAAGGCGAGGAAAAAAGCACCGAGGAAUCGGAGCACGGGACGUUUUGGGACUCCUCUUUUUUGAGCUUUUAAAGCUCGCCUAUGAGGCCUUCCUUGCUCAAUCUACUUCGUCUCAUAACUGCUGGAAGAAUCUCUCAUUUAACGCGUUGAAACUCUGUUGAAUGAGCGAAGGGUUUUUUGUGUUCAUCUUGUAACUGCUAGUGUCCGUACAGCAUCGUCAGAAAUUUUAUCUUCAGGACGUUUUAAUCCCUCGUGCUAGAGAAUGUUUUUUACGUCCUUCUUUUUUAAUCGUUUUAACAAGUUUUUCCUCAUUUUUUAGGCCGCUUUCAUUCGAGACUCUUCAACCAGCAUGGGGCGAGGAAACGCGGCUCAAAAACAGGCAGAAUCUCCUUUUUUCGUUGCGGACUUUGGAAACAUGUUCUACGAAACUGCUGAAUUUUUGGGACAGCAGUGGAAUCGUGGAUGAACGUUUUCCUCCCCUACCACCUAAAAUUACAACCAAAACUACAGCCACCUCGAAAUCACAUUCGUUUCUAUUUGCGGGCAUCGCGUCAAUCAUUUUUUAUUUCAAAAUGCCCUUCGUAAUUUUCGUAAAUUCGAGGGUUUUUGCGCUCUCAUUUUUAGCUACGACUCAUGCACUGGCUUCAAAUUCCACACGCUUUUCUCUGGACGAUUUCCAGCCCGUGGAAUUUUUUAAUGAUUAAUUUCAUAGUUUUAUUCCCGUCGUUAAUUUCCCAAAACUUUCGUCUCCGAAACCUCAAAAUUCAGGAUCCCAAAGAAACGAAUUUUGUUUUGUCGAAUCGAAAAGCCCUGUAAGUCUCUAUUUUCGUGUGUUGAGAAUUCGCAACAAAAUUCAGCGAGCUCGGUCUCCAUCGUUCUUUCUCUCCUGAGAAGCCGCGAGGAGCUCAGUUGGAAUUUUAAUCUAGGAUUAAUCCAUUACUCUCGCUAGAAAUAAAUUCCCGGAGGUACCAAAGCAUUAAAAUAAUUGUUAUCUUAGACGGCUUUCUUCGUUGAGCGUUGUAACCAUUCCGUUUACGGACAUGAAAAAAGCUUAAUCCCUCAACUUCCCGGCGCUUUGAUCACACUGCAAUCGCCCUAAAAUUCUUCAACUUUUCAAAACAAUUGUUAUUAACCAAGUUCACGAGAGUUCAAUUCAUUUAAAUCUCGUUUCAACCGAUUUUCACACGAGCCGCAUUUGCCGAAGGAACUUUCCUCUCGCAAGGCUCUUUUCAGAAAAUACCAUUUUCUCCAUUCUUUUUUUCAUCGAAUUGCAUAAAAUGCACAUUUUUAAGGGCGAAUGUUAUGAAAUUUAUAUUUCUCCGAUGAUUUUACGUUCUUUGCCUAUCUCGAAAGUGCGCACUGUUCAGACAUUACUAUGUAAAUUUAUUUCGGCGUCUUUGGCCUCGCCCGAAGGAAGCAGAGGAAGCGAGUGAGCGACCAGAAUGCUCGGCUGGCCGGAGAGGCGUCGAAAAACGCAUCUGAAUAUAUAUUCCGGAGUUUUGUCUUUUUUGCUUUUCGUUUGGAGGCUCUCGUUCGCGAAUUCUUUA